rnacentral:tRNA from 1 species
GCCGAAGUGGUGGAAUUGGUAGACACGCUAUCUUGAGGGGGUAGUGGCAACAGCCGUGCCGGUUCAAGUCCGGCCUUCGGCACCA